rnacentral:other from 1 species
UAAAGCCUGCCGGGUUCGAUUCUCCCUGAAUACUAACCCAACACACACUGAAAGGGAGCUCUUCUUGGAAAUGGAUUGCAGACCUCCCCGAUCAUCGGGACGCUGGGAGCAUGGUAGUGGACAGCGAGCACCCACCUGCUAUACAUGCAGGUUAAUAUUUCCGGGACCCCGGCUCGGCGGGUGUAAU